UUGUUCUUAUCUUCGUUCUUUUAUCCUCGUCGCCAAUUGUUGUGUAUUCGGAUGCUUUGAACAGUCUUGAAUAAAGGCUUGGACACGGGAGGAACCAUACAAGCUUCUUUACUGCAGGACGCCACCUCCAGUCUCCCCCUGCUCAUGCGUACUUGCCCAAGACAUCACAAGACACCAAUUACUUAUCCUAAUUAUCCCAUACCUAACACUCCUCCCCCUUUAACUUGGAGGCAGGUAAUACCUUUUCUAUUACGUACACCGCACUCCUUUCCUUUUAAGUCCAUUUCACCUGUACGGUAUAUGCUCUUUUCCUACUAUUGUGCGCUUGUGAUUUUAAUUUAGCAUUAGUCCUUUCAUUACAGUUUGACUUGACAGUGAGAG